UACAGAGACUGCAAGCGUUAUUCGGAUUCACUGGGCGUAAAGGGUGCGCAGGCGGCCGUGUGUGUGAGGCGUGAAAGCCCGGGGCUUAACCCCGGAAUUGCACCUCAAACUACACGGCUAGAGCAUUGGAGAGGGUAGCGGAAUUCACGGUGUAGCAGUGAAAUGCGUAGAUAUCGUGAGGAACACCAGAGGCGAAGGCGGCUACCUGGACAAUUGCUGACGCUCAGGCACGAAAGCGUGGGGAGCAAAAGGG
rnacentral:rRNA from 1 species